UACAUGUAUUUAUUUAUAUAUUGCCGGAUCGGAGCGAAUAUCCGCUUCUUAAAAUUUUGAUAUUUGUGAUUUGCUUCGAUUUUAAAGGAUAUUGAUUUUUUUUGCUUCGGAAGUCUACGGAUAUCCAAAAAUUUUGGAUCGAAUCGAGACGAAUAACGAAUCGAAUCAAAUUUAACGGAUAAAAUGUCCAGUCCUACCGGUGGCUAUGCGCUGUGAAAAUCUGGUGUGGUGCGGAUUCGAACUCGGGUCCUUUGGGGAUCCACGGAACGCCUUGACCACCCGAUCACAGACGCGUGGUUCCUACAUUAUCAGAAAGAAGCUUUCUCGAAAAUUUGAAUAAGAAACAGGUACAUAAAACGUGUAAAUGUUAAGAUUUGAGAGAAGAUUUGUGAGAAUGUGUUUUCUAUUUCUUAUUGCUUACACCACUAUAUAUAGUGGUUCAUACAAGGUGGAGUCAAAGGGAGAAUUGAUUACAAAGAUACUAUACAUAAUGACAUGGUCAAACUCAUAAAGACUAAGGU
rnacentral:lncRNA from 1 species